rnacentral:rRNA from 1 species
UACGGAGGGUGCAAGCGUUAUCCGGAUUCACUGGGUUUAAAGGGUGCGUAGGUGGGCAGGUAAGUCAGUGGUGAAAUCUCCGGGCUUAACCCGGAAACUGCCGUUGAUACUAUUUGUCUUGAAUGUCGUGGAGGUGAGCGGAAUAUGUCAUGUAGCGGUGAAAUGCCUAGAGAUGACAUAGAACACCGAUUGCGAAGGCAGCUCACUACGCGAAUAUUGACACUGAGGCACGAAAGCGUGGGGAUCAAACAGG